UGAAAUGGAUUUGGCUUAAGGACUGUAGUUUGAAAAAAAAAUAUUUUUGCUGCGCAGAGGAAAUGAUAGAAUAACUUCUUGUGAGUAUUUUGUACAUGUUUUAAAUGACAUAAACAAUAGGAAAAGUCUAUACAACAGCUUACAUAUUUUAAGCUGGUAAUGAUUUAUUCUUCCUGCUGUGUGUUGAAGUGCUUCAUCUGUCUCCCUGCAAAUGGCUAAACCAGGAAGGCAUCUGUUGCUUCCCCCAUCCCCAGACUUACUCAGAAGGUUUUUCUGUAGAUGCUUGGUAUACGUUUUCCAGUUCUCACUUUUGAUCUACCGUUAAUCUACUAUUUAAUCUUUCAGUUCAUGGAGCAAAGUUUAACUUCAGUCUGCAGUUUCACAUUUGGCCUUCAGAGCUCUAUACGUGCUGGAGAUAAAAUGAGACAGAACAAGUCAGAAACAGAAAAAUUCUGCAACCCUGCUUAGAACAACCUCAUCCAAAAUUCCACUCUUAACGGAUUUCUUGCGGAGCUGACAUAUGCACAGCAAUCCAUAAACUGAUGAAUAGAAAAGAAGGUGUGAUUCAGACUCUUGCUCAGGCUGGGAUAAAUUUGGUGGUAAAAACUGCAAAUCAUUAUUAGAGGGGAGGACGACACAGUCUGUGUCCCAGAAAUCCUGCAAUCAAAAACUGUGACAUGAGAGCACCGUCAUGCAAAGACAUGCUGAACUGGCCAGAAAAAGCAAGUGGAAGAGUGAUGGUUCAGGCUGGAGCGCCGGGGCCUGGGCAGUGCGGGCAGGAGCUGGAGGCACGCAGCCUUGUGCCAGGGCGGGAGGACCGGUGGGUACGACGCGGGUAAGUCCAGGAGAAUAGAUGAUAUGAGACUUGAUUAAUGUAUAAUUAAUUAGAAUGUAUUCUAAUUAGUGUCAAUCAACGUGCGGGUAUGGAAAAUAGGACCGCUAAAUAAGACUUGCUUUUUUUUUUAAUGAGAUGACAAAUGUGGUAGAUGGGGAGAGUAUUGAUAUGCCAGCUGCCCAUAUGGCAUUUGCUUUGACACCAGUGUGACAUCUGGGGUGGAAGUGAGAUGCUGCUGGACUGUCACGUGAGCUGGGCUGUCAGGUGGCAGCUGGAGGUGGGAGGUGAGGGCAUGGCCAUUACCUCUGGACAGGGCUUGGCCAGCACCCUCCAUGCCCGCAGGGAUGGGGAAUCGGGGGAGGCGCAGGCGGCACUGCUCGGGUCUGGCUGGUGUGGAAACCCUGUGCUGAGCUGUGGCCGGUGCAUGUGGGGGAGGGGGACCACAUCGGGAAGAGGGACCACACAGAGGAAUCAUGGAAGGCCAUGGGUAGCAGAGGGGUAAGGGCCAGGAGAAGAAGACGGGCACCGAGCGCCUGGAAGGGGUCAGCCUGCUGAAUUCAAGGAUAAGAUGGGCCAGGCAUGAUUUGAUCUCGGGCUGUGAGUAUGAACACAGGGAGCAGGGGGUUGAUAACAGAAAGCUUUUCAGUUUAGUGGACAGGGAUAUAAGGAGAUCUAAAGCUUGAAGCUGAGAUAAACACACAUUUUGUCUAUGGUGGAGGUAACUUGGUAGCUGGAGCAUCCUACCAGAGGGCGAUGGCCAGCUCCUUGUUGCCAAAAUGUCUUAAUGGAGAUUGGUUUGUGGUUUUCUGAAAGGGUGCUCUACUUGGAAGGGAAUUAAUUAAUCCUGGAAAGGUUUAUGUCCAAGCCACAAUGGAUGCUCACAACAGCACUUCUUGGCUACGGAGCCACAAUUACUUGCUCCAGUUAAUUUUGCUGGAAGCAGGAUCAGACCCUCACCUGUGGAGGAGUGCAGAAUGCCGAUGGCUGUCGCGGUGCUGUGGCACGUGGGCGAGCAGCACUCAUGUCUGUGGCUCUGCAGCUAAUCAACACGUCAGCUAAAGCGAAUUUGAUUUUGAGAAGUCUUAUGGACCCCAAUAAAGAUCAGUAAUCAUUAAAAUUAACCACACGCUGAUUUAAUCAACAUAUAGCUUUGUUAAUUACCAGCUCUUUCUUCGUGUCCAUCUGUUUUAAAGAUUUUAGUGAACCUGCAGCAGAUGUUCAUGUAAAUAUAAUAAGCUGGUUGCCAUGUAAAUAUAAAAUUUGCAGGAUUGUUUUUGUAACAGACUUCCAAUUUAUUUGUGCUGUUGUCAGUAUCACGUCUUCAGUGGCUUAAACACAAAACUGAUAACUUUGUUAAAAUCCCCAUUAGAGACAGUCUGUGCUACCAGGCUGUCCCUCUGCCUGGCCCUGCCGCCGUGUCCUGCUCCUGUGAUUUGUGCCCAGGAACUGCCAUGUAGAACUGAAAUAGGGCCCAUCUAUUCACGCUGCCUUCCAGGGUAUAAAAAGUAAUUUCUGCACUCAUGGUGAAAGUGAUUCAUUCAUUGUGAGCGGUGUAGGUGGGGAGUGGCUUGUGCAGCUGAACAUUGGGUUUCCAGCUUUCCCCUCGGAACCGGGUGCCAGCAGGGAGGUGGGUCCGGCGGGCGGGGGAGUGGAGGGGGAUGCUGGCGCAUGGCUGUGGGAUGCCUAGGGGAGACAGCAGCAAAACUGGGCUGCCAUGACAGUACAGAAAGCAAACUGGCAAGCAUUUUAAAAUCUAAAAAUGAAUACUCUGUGGCAUAAAUUGAAAAAAACCCCAAACCCCUAGAUUUUACUUUGCCACUAGUGACCAAAUGGGGUGCAUUUUGCUGGAUUAAUAUUUUUCUUGUGAAACAGAAUCCCCAAUAGAAUCGGAAAAAAGGCAUGAAAAAGUGCAGAAGAGCUAUGUUUUGCUGAAAAAACUUCACAGUUUAAGACUUAGCUUUUGAGUCUACAAGCCGAAUAGCAGAGGUUUUUUUGAUGUGGCAGCAUGUGGGGCUUUUUCUGUGUGUGGGAGUUGCAGACUUCGCUCCGUGGAGAUCUUUUAUCUACAGGAGCAUGGCUCUGGGUAAGUUUCUUCACCAGCAGUGUGCGGCAAAGGGGUCACGAAGGCAGAGUGUGGGCAUGCAGAGGAAACCUCUUCCACUUCCAUCCGUGGGGAGGGGGAGGUGGCUGCCCUGGAAGCGAGAUGUUUCUUCUCUGUGCUGGGGAGAAGGUGCCCAGCCACAGCCCUGCCAGCACAGGUGCCCAUUGCCCUCAUGGUGGUGGCUUUUCCCUGCGCAGGGGAGAGAUGCUCUUCAGCAGCUGCAGAACUAGGCAGGAAAACCUGGCUCUGAAUAUGUCUGCAUUUGGUCUUUGUUGGAUUAAAACUGUUAUGGAACAUAAUUGCCCAGGUUUCCUGUGUGACAGUAGCCUGACAGCCAGUCUUGUACGGUGGGACUGGACUCGCGGUGAGGGCGUGAAGCAGAGCAGCCGAGGGCAGGUCCCGUUUUAUCACUGGGAAACAGGUGCUUCUCUAAGGGAAGAAAACUGGGAGCACUGGGGGGCACCGGCUGCAGCAAGUCAUUCGAGUGGUUCGUGCUGUGGCAAGGACAGGCCAGGACGGGUUUUGGCAAGGUGGUUGUAGGGAUGCAGUGUGGUCCUUACACUCAUGAGGGUACAGCCAUGAGCACUCCUAACGCACAGCCCGUCCAUCCCUGGAGUGUGGGCUGCCACCUCUGAAAGCGGGUAGUGUUCCCAGGUGGCAGUCCGUUCUCAGCUGCAGAUUAACCUCAUAAAAGGCACCACCAAAACCCCCCAAGCCCUCACAGGGAUUAAUACAAUAGGUUCAGAUUGUGAAUUCAGAGAGGGAUCUCUUUUUUUGUUACGUUUGUGCAAAGAAGGCCAUGGUUGAUAGAAGGGAUUCCUAAAUAUGGCUGUGGCAUAGUUAAGUGAUAAUAAUCCCAAAGGCAAUGAAACAACAAAGGAGGAAAUUCACUGUUCAUCUGCAGACCGUGGAAAACCACUGAUUCUCAAAUUCACUUGGCAACGUCAGCCAUGUAGCUAUACGCCCCCUUUAAGCUGUGUAACCCCAGCGUCCCAAGUGGAGACGUCUGCCUCUGAGCACUGCGCCUGGAGUUGUGUCUGGAAAGGGAUGAAACCCCAUGGCACGCACGUUGCAUCGUAGUCCCACCAGCUGGCAGGCAAGUGUCCCUGCAAGAUGGUGGCAAGAGGGGACCACCAAGAGGCACAAGCACCUUCAGCACUGGUGGGACAGGCUCUUAGCUUGUUUGCAAAGCCUCCUUUAAGACGGAUUUUAAAGUCAAUUAGAGAUGACCUUGUUGCAUAAUGGGAAAACUGACAAAAUGCAGAAUUGCAAAUUCAUGUUGUUUGUCUAGGUAUUACAUCUGCCUUCAGAGAAUAAUUAAUCUGAUAAAUAACAGAACUCCGGCUUCAGAUUGGGUGUUUCUCUAAUCCACUGUAUGUGUUUAUUUCUCCCAGUGCUCCGCAGGUACACCCACUGGGUACGGACGGUGGGCAGGAUGCAGACCCUUGCCCCCAACCUCCCCGCUCCAGGCACUCCUGCAGCAGCCCCAGGCGGGCUCCCCAUCCCAGGGGACGGUCCUCCCUCUGCUGGGGCCCCAGUGCUGGGCAGUGAGAGGCUGGGAGCUGCUGGCUGCGCUUCUGAGGAUUUUGGUUUCAUUUUGCUCUACAUUGACAAUGACUUCAGGAGCCUGGAGAGGAGGAUGAGAGUGCACAAAGGCAGGUCAUUAAACAGCUCUCUUCAGGCACCUAUUGAUCUGCGCGGUCCUUGCUCUCACAUUGGCCAGGUAAGGCACUGCUGGCAUGAAAUUCCCGUUCAUGGUAGAAGAUUUACUGUUUUUCAGGGAGUGGAGCGUAAAGAAACAGACACCCGCAAGUGGCUGGAAAGCUCCAGGAGCAGAGGCUGCAGCCCCCCACACCCUUCCCAAGACAGGCACAAGGAAGCGGAGACAAAAGGCAAGGUGGAACUGGGCAGCGAUCCGGCGUCUCAGCAAGGGCAAAUCAACACUGGCAAUGAAGAAGAAAUUUAAAGAUGAUAGCAGCAAUUGGUGUGAGUCAGCCGUGUUCCUCCUCACAGAUGGGACAAACUCCCCAAACCUGGAUCUGGUAGAUUUGAGUGUUUCCUGAUGAGCAUUCAGUUUCCUGAUAAAUACAUUUUGCAGGUAAAUCCUGUUUAACACCAUCCCUGAGAGACUAAUACAACCACCAAGGUGCGCUUUAUUUUGUGCUGAGGUUCGGACUGGGCUUGAAGUUGCUGGUGUGUAUUUCUCUAGAGGAACAUUCUGUCCUGGCAGGACAGACUGAGCCAGACCGGCCCAUCCUCCCGCCCAGCACACGACCCCUUGGAACGGCAGAGCCACGCCGCACGUGCACAGGACACGUGCCGGGACUCGCAUGGCCAAGAGCUCUGCUCUGAGCACAUCAUUCAGCUCCACCAGAACCAUCCGCCCGGGGAAUCCCACAGCCUGCGUCAGGCCGCGGUGAGGUGCCUCAUCCAUCCCACCGGCAGCAGGCAAACCAAGCUGCGGACGGCGGUGGGUGCUCAAGCACGUGUAGUUGUGUCAGCACCUCGUCCAUCUCAGUUUGUGGGAAGUCAGGUCUGAGCCGCAGCAAGGUACCAAACGUGUCAAAGAGUUUGCGGGCCAGAGGGAGCAGACACAGCAGUGCUCUUUCUCCUGUUCCUUCAUCUGCCUCUGGCUCAGUCGGUGAGAGCACAUCUCUGCACUCCUCCUUUCUCCUUUGGAAGCAGCUGAAGUACCACUUAGGCAGGUGCAGUCUUACUCUUAGUGAUGUCGGGAAAGAGUUAAUUAAAGGCAAUUCACCUGGGAUCACUGGGUUAGGUUUUUGGAUGUGCAUAACUUUGGAAUCCAGAUGCCUGUUACUGCCAACAAGUGCCAUGGAAGCCUUGUUUUGCAAGAGGAGAAGGAGGAGGUCAGAUUGCAGUCUGUGAAGCUGACUACAUGAUACUACAUCCCAUGGACAGACAGGAGUCCUGGUAUCUUUUUAUCUGCACAAUUAAUUUUGACUACUGAAUACACUUAACAUAUGCAGGAGGAAGAGCGAACUAUUUGUUAGCAUUUGAUGCGGUUCUUUUAAACUGCCGAAGUCUGGCAUUGCAAUUACUACUCUUACACUAUGCACUUGCAGUAAUUUACAGUGGAAGUCAGAGACAUCUCCGAGUUAAAAGCAGAUCUCCUGUGAGGAGGAUGUGACAAAGUUUAAGUAGAAAGCUGAUCCCCUCUGCAGGAAUUCAGAGAUGCAUCUUGAUAUCUGUAAGGCCUUGUAGGAUGCAGGUUUUUGUCUUCUGCUUUCAAAUUGAUAUUCUGUUGCUAAAUCUAGGCCAGCUUCACUUAAUUUUUUUUUUUUAUGGUGUCUCACUUUUUUAAUUAUCGAGCUCAACUCCACAAUGGUUUGACUCUUUUUGAUGUGCAGCAGCUGGUCGUGGACUCUGCAAGCAGGACUGCAUUUGAAAAUCAAGCGAAGGAAAGUGCUGGUGGAAAAUGGAUAAAACAUGGAUUAUUUCCUGUAACAAUAAGAAAAGUGCUGUGUGUGCAGUACCGUCUGUGAUCAAGCAUGCUGCUGCAGCGUGCCGUGCCUGAGUUUGCGUUACACAGUUGACUGGAGCAAUUUGGGAGAACACUCUGGAGUGAUGGGAGCAUCAUCCCAAAGUCCUGGAUGUGGAGCAGCCAUAUGGGCACCUCAGUGUUUAUCCUUCUGGAUCUAUAUCUUAGCCUGUGUGGACAGCAUACCGUAAAUGUAACCUGGGCAGCCAGAGGAGCAAUAAAUCAGGAGUGAGCCCAAGAAACCGAGGCUGGUAUGAGCUUGUGCGGCAGAGAGGGGUAUGUGAUGUAUAUCUGACCUUUCAGAUGUGGGGGAAGGAUAUUUCUCUGUUUAUAGAUACUAGGAUUUGUGAUUAAAACUGUAUAAAAACAAUGGCUUUCAUGCAUUGCGCUUUGAGGGCUCAGCCUGAACUGGUUCACAGAAGCACGACCCAGUUCCUAUACAGUGCUGGCUUUCAGCAGCCGCCCCUGCAGGAGGCCGGGCUCCGUCCAGAGCCUGCUGCAGUUAAUGGAAAGGCUCCUCUUCAUUUCCCUAGGACUUGGAUCAGAUCCUUAGAAGGCAAUUUGGGUAGUGAGGUGAGAAAUUUGGGAUGACCAGCGUAUCAAUAACACGAGCAUCAAGCUUCACUCCCUUCACCUCAGUUCACAAACUAAUUCCAAUCCAAAUGCUAAGCAGCAGACCUUCCACAUGUUGCCAAGGCAGAUGCAGAUACUAAAAGGUACAUUUGUAAACGGGUCUUUUUAAUGCAUCCCUCUAGUGUGUUAUAUUUGUACAUUUAUUCUUAGUUUCAUCAUGGCUUCUGGUUUUAGUUACUGUCCUAAGGUGGUGCUCUGACUACCAACACCUGUUAGACCCAAAUUUUAAUGUGAUUUAGAUGAGAGGAGGGUGGGCACUUUCUACUCCACUGACCCAGUCUCGUGUUUGCUGGGAGAAGCCAGUGGAGCAACACAGAUUUGUCCCAGUAACUUUAUGGAAGGUCUUUGUUCCUGUAGGAUCCAAGCGCCAUUUUCCCUUUCAAUGUUUAUUUCUUAAGCUCAGCAUUCAUGGAGAAAACACUGGGCACUGAUGACUUCUCACAGCAGCAGUGCCCCUUCCCCCAGGCACCAGCGGUGAGCCUCACGUUCCUGGCGCAGCGGGCGUGUGUCUGGCUGUGCCUGUGGUGGAGCAGGUCACGCUGGGGAGGCGGUGGGCAGGGGCACUGCGGGCACUGCGGGCAGGGGCACUGCGGGCAGGGGCACUGCGGGCAGGGGCACUGCGGGCACUGCGGGCACUGCGGGCAGGGGCACUGUGGGCAGGGGCACUGUGGGUAGCCCAGUGCCUUCGGGGAGCCCGUCCACGUAAACAUCAGCGUUGUGUUGAGUGGUGGUACUUGUUUGUGGAGGAGACGCGUGUCCUACUGAGAACUUCAAUAGCUUUGUGCUUCAUGUGUUUCUGGCACGGUAUUCCUAAGAAAUGCUGAUUGUGUAAAAUGGGAUUUUGGGUGAAACCACCAACGUUUGCGUUUAGCAUUGCCCUGACAGAGCAAAGAGAGGGGGGAUGCUUCUCUCUGCGUCUCGGUUCAGUGCACUGGGAAGGUCCAUUCCCGGAUUGAGGUAAGCGAACAGGCAGGCGGGUGAGGAUUCAUACACCAGCUUUCAAGAGACCAUUCCCUCACAGUUCCUUUGUCCUAAGAAAGAAAGAAAGUAAUUUCUAGAGGAUAAUUUGAAUUACUGUCUGAAGGUGCAUUUUUCUAUUUCUUUCUCUCCAAUACAAGGAUGGUUGGGGUGGACAACCCCAACUUCUCUGCCUCUGAGAGUGGGGGUGAGGCACGUGGCCCCGCAAAACUGGCAGCUGAAGCCCGAGUCUCUCAGAAGGAGCAGCCUUUCCUUGCUUGCGGCGGUGUCCCAGGGUCCUGUCAUUGCUCGGGGCGCAGGAGGGGUGGGGGUGUGCUGGGUGCUGCUCUGCAGAGCUGUGCAUGGACCCAGCGGUCGCACUGCGCCGCUGCCUAGCGGGUCUCUCCCCUUGUGCGGAGGGGCCGGGAGCCCGGCAGCCUUGGCCCUGCAGAGGGGUUCAGACCCCGCGGCGAGGCCUUUGCCUUGCGAGCCCUGUGCUUCCGUGCGUGUGCGCUCGGCGUUUGUGAGCGCUGGCUGCUGGCUCUGACGGCCACCCGGUACGUUUGUGCGGUGCCUGCGGACGCUGCGCGGGGAGCUGGGCCGGCUGUCGGCUGCCCCUGGCGCGGGCGGCUAGGCAGGGGGAGCUCAGCCAAACCGCCUGCUAGCCCAGGGCAGGGGGGGCAGCUCCAGAUGCCCAUCCAACUUUAUUGUACAACUUCAUUAUCGUCUGCCGUCAUAAAUGAUUUCUGGGGUUUUUUUACAGUUUGUCAGAACUUUAAACUCUUGCAUCAAAGUCUUGCUCUUGUCCAUCGCCUUGUAACUUGGUAGAAGGGGUACAGGAUACGUCCCUGAUCGUGCGUGAUUGCUGCUGGGUAAGCGCUUGGUGAGGCCCAGGAAACAAUGAGAAGAGUAUAAAUAUCAGUUACAGAAGGAGAUGUUACUGGACUCCUGUGGCAAUUUCCUAUGGUAAUAAGCAUCUAGGAGGAUAUUAAAAAUGUCAUUUGUGCUUUAAAAGUAAUAAUAAUUGGAAUAGAUUCUGGCAUCUUUUAUAACAACAGAGCUAGCAAUUAUUACUGGGGAUAUUUUAAAAGAAAACAAAUAUAUUAAAUAAUUAGUUAAUUGAAUUGCCAAUAUUGCUGAUGCUGCUGAUAUUAUUCUGAAAAAGAUGAGAUUAGCAGCAUGGUUUUGCACAGUUAUAUUUGGUUGGAGAUAAAAUUAAGAGGAGGACUGAGAUGCAUUCAGCUGGCUCUGCCCCGAGGCUGGUGUGCGGUGGGGAAUUCUGCAGGACCCUGGUGCUCAGGCACCUUGCCGGCAGCUCACGCAUAUAUCCAUUCCAGCAUUUUACUGAAUCUAUUUUAUUUACCCAUUGGAGCUGCGCACUGUGGACAUUUCCCUUGGAAAACCUCUCCUCCCACCCUGCCUUUGGCACAGUCUCAACCCUCAGUUUGUGCGAGCUCCAGACCUCCAAACGCACCCCUUCUCCGUCUGGACACCAAAGCAGAGUGACAGGUUUUGGAAAGCAGUCAGCACAUUGGGUGACCCCCAUGGAACAUGGCUGUGCAGUGCUUACGUAGGAGGGAAUCUGGCUGGAACACCUGCCCUCCGCACGCUGAGCUCCUGGAGAGGGCAGGCUCAUUCUCAAGCCUGCUGCUCGGUGCGUGCCUUAUGCCGCCAGGUGCUAGCGAGGGGUCCCCGCUUCUCAGCCCAAAAGCUGUCCUUGUCCUCGUGUACAGGGCUUCUCCAGGUGCCCCAGGAGUUACCUCUGUGCCAUCCAUCGAUUGCAUCUGCGUGGCUGCCAGGGAUGGAUGGCUUAGAGCUCAUUGCAAGAUUGCUGCUUACACAACUGGGUCAUUCAUGCUGAAAACGGACAAUGUAAAAUGCUGCCUUCCCUCCUCUCACAAGCAGGAGCUGUUUUUUCCUUCCAGUGCCGGUAUGCAGGCUCCCUGUGCUUCCCAGUGCAAGAGCUGCAAAAGCAGCCUUCAGCUUCAUGCACCUUCAGGCUUAUUCUUUCUCCUGUAGCUGGGACACAUGCACUGCGAUCCACGGCUCAGCCAUGGGUUUCCCUGCUGCAUUUCCGUUUUCUUCUACAGUUUCAUCAUGCCAGUCACAUGCAAACUUGCAUCUACAUCUAUGUAUCUAUAUCUACGUGCACACAUGCAAGGAUUUAAAUGCAUGUUCAGCAGAGUGACAGCCCUGGUUUGCAGGGAGAGCUGGAAAUAAGAGGCUUAGCAUGUACCAACUUAAAAAUACAACCUUUUGUGAUAAAACAGGAUUGCUAUUACAUUUUUCAUCCUGCUACAGCUCUCACAAGGAGUAAAGUGGUGUGGGGUGUUGCUGUUGUGAGAAGAAAGUACAGACUGGAGUCCCUUGGUGCCAGGGACAGGGCAGGGUGCCCCGGGGGGUCCGUGUGGCUGAGGGCUCUGCCCCUGCCUUCUCCCCACAGGGGAACAGGGGUCUAUUUCUGUGCUCUUUAGAGACCUCCAUGGGCUGAAUCGAUUUUCAUUAUUGUAAUGCACUUAAAGGAUAUUUCCUUUCUUUAAAGAAAAUAAAUGCAUUGUUUAUUUCAAAACUGAA